GUACACUAACAGUUGAUGGCAGGCAGCCCCAGUCUACCUUUGGGGUGGAAGGAAGUCACCAAGGCCGGGCUCAGGCUUGGGACAUUCAGUCUCAGCCUCUGGAAAGGGGAGUGGAGAUUCUUUCAUUUGGAAUAUGGAAUAUGUGUGAUUGUUGAGAUGCGGGAUCCUCCCAAGACAGCCAAGUUAAUUCAUCAAGAGGCAUUAAAUAGCUGAUGGAAGCACACCAUGGUCUCCAGUGUCUAAUGGUCCCCAUCAAGUGAUGGAGCAAUGCAUUUGUGACUUCUGUGACACAAAACAAAGUGGGACCAGGCCUCAGCCACAUGCAGGAGGACACAGAUGAGGAAGAGACACCAUCCACGCAGGCUGAAGAGACAGAGAGGCAUUGAACCAGACACCUGUAGGAGAGGAGAUGGAGAAAUACCAGGUCUCCUAAUCUCUGCUGGAGCCAGGUAUGUCUGGGUUGUGGCUUUAACACCAGA
rnacentral:lncRNA from 1 species